rnacentral:rRNA from 1 species
ACGAACGCUGGCGGCGUGCCUAACACAUGCAAGUCGAACGGAACUUCUUUAAAGGAUUUCUUCGGAAUGAAUUUGAUUAAGUUUAGUGGCGGACGGGUGAGUAACGCGUGAGUAACCUGCCUCUAAGAGGGGAAUAACAUUCUGAAAAGAAUGCUAAUACCGCAUAAUAUAUAUUUAUCGCAUGGUAGAUAUAUCAAAGAUUUAUCGCUUAGAGAUGGACUCGCGUCCGAUUAGUUAGUUGGUGAGGUAACGGCUCACCAAGACCGCGAUCGGUAGCCGGACUGAGAGGUUGAACGGCCACAUUGGGACUGAGACACGGCCCAGACUCCUACGGGAGGCAGCAGUGGGGGAUAUUGCGCAAUGGGGGAAACCCUGACGCAGCAACGCCGCGUGAAGGAUGAAGGUCUUCGGAUUGUAAACUUCUUUUAUUAAGGACGAAGAAAGUGACGGUACUUAAUGAAUAAGCUCCGGCUAACUACGUGCCAGCAGCCGCGGUAAUACGUAGGGAGCAAGCGUUGUCCGGAUUUACUGGGUGUAAAGGGUGCGUAGGCGGCUUUGCAAGUCAGAUGUGAAAUCUAUGGGCUCAACCCAUAGCCUGCAUUUGAAACUGCAGAGCUUGAGUGAAGUAGAGGCAGGCGGAAUUCCCCGUGUAGCGGUGAAAUGCGUAGAGAUGGGGAGGAACACCAGUGGCGAAGGCGGCCUGCUGGGCUUUAACUGACGCUGAGGCACGAAAGCGUGGGCAGCAAACAGGAUUAGCUACCAUGGUAGUCCACGCUGUAAACGAUGAUUACUAGGUGUGGGGGGUCUGACGCCUUCCGUGCCGGAGUUAACACAAUAAGUAAUCCACCUGGGGAGUACGACCGCAAGGUUGAAACUCAAAGGAAUUGACGGGGGCCCGCACAAGCAGUGGAGUAUGUGGUUUAAUUCGACGCAACGCGAAGAACCUUACCAAGUCUUGACAUCCUGAUGACGGUUCCUUAACCGGAACUUUUCUUCGGAACAUCAGAGACAGGUGGUGCAUGGUUGUCGUCAGCUCGUGUCGUGAGAUGUUGGGUUAAGUCCCGCAACGAGCGCAACCCUUGCUAUUAGUUGCUACGCAAGAGCACUCUAAUAGGACUGCCGUUGACAAAACGGAGGAAGGUGGGGACGACGUCAAAUCAUCAUGCCCCUUAUGACCUGGGCUACACACGUACUACAAUGGACAUAAACAGAGGGAAGCAAUACAGUGAUGUGGAGCAAACCCCUAAAAAUGUUCUCAGUUCAGAUUGCAGGCUGCAACCCGCCUGUAUGAAGAUGGAAUUGCUAGUAAUCGCAGAUCAGCAUGCUGCGGUGAAUACGUUCCCGGGCCUUGUACACACCGCCCGUCACACCAUGGGAGCCGGUAAUACCCGAAGUCAGUAGUCUAACCGCAAGGAGGACGCUGCCGAAGGUAGGAUUGGCGACUGGGGUG